UUAUUUUGUGGAAUGUGACAUUUUUAUUGUUUUUGGUUUUAUUAAGGGAUUUGCUGUAGGGGUUCAAGGGGUUAUUUUUUCAUUUACUUUCUUGGAAUUCCUUUACUGUAAUCCGAGAGUCACAAAUAUCGAAUAGGAUAGAAAGGAUAGCAUGAAGUUGUGACAUUUAAAAUCCAAAAAGUCGAGGGCAAAAGCCACUCUGACACCAUUGUUAUGCUCUGUCAGUAAUCUGUAUUAUGUAAAAAUGGUCUGUAAAUACAGCAUGUUUCCUAGCGGAGUUAUACAAAUCAACAUAGUUAUAAAUUACAUUUUGUUAAAUCACACACUAUAGAAAGUUAGCACAUGGCAGUGUCGAUCUCUUGCUUUUCUUCUGAGUAGUAUUUUAUCUAGUUGUUAUUCAAUCAAUAAUUUGCUUCUUGAUAUUAAAUAAUGAAUUUCUUGUUUUACUUUAUAAAUUUCAGAUCCUGCCUUUACCUGCUCCCUCCUAUACUGAUGUGGUGUAUGUGGUACUGCUGAGCUUGUAUGUGAUCUGAACCAUUGUAAAGGUUGCAGUUCAAGGGCCUGAGGUGGAAGCAGAAUUUGUGAGGAUUACUACUGCUCCACUUGUUCCAAGGCUUUUUGCACAACUUGACCAAUACACCAAUGACCAGCUC